GAUGAACGCUGGCUACAGGCUUAACACAUGCAAGUCGAGGGGAAACGACGGGGAAGCUUGCUUCCCCGGGCGUCGACCGGCGCACGGGUGAGUAACGCGUAUCCAACCUGCCUCUGACUGAGGGAUAACCCGUCGAAAGUCGGCCUAAUACCUCAUGGCAUCGUCUGCGGGCAUCCAACGACGAUUAAAGAUUUCAUCGGUCAGGGAUGGGGAUGCGUCUGAUUAGCUUGUUGGCGGGGUAACGGCCCACCAAGGCUACGAUCAGUAGGGGUUCUGAGAGGAAGGUCCCCCACAUUGGAACUGAGACACGGUCCAAACUCCUACGGGAGGCAGCAGUGAGGAAUAUUGGUCAAUGGGCGGGAGCCUGAACCAGCCAAGUAGCGUGCAGGAUGACGGCCCUAUGGGUUGUAAACUGCUUUUAUGCGGGGAUAAAGUGAGGGACGUGUCCUUCAUUGCAGGUGCCGCAUGAAUAAGGACCGGCUAAUUCCGU
rnacentral:rRNA from 1 species